UCUCUUGAGGUUUGAAUAACCAGACAACGCUCCUCGCUCUCCAGUCUUCUCUUCUUCUACACGCGCUUUAAAGAAAGAAAGAAAACGAUGGUGAGCGAUAGUGAAUCCAAGAAGAGAAACGACAGUAUCAAGUUCUUGUGCAGUUACGGUGGCAAGAUCAUUCCUCGUUCGACGGACGGGAAGCUACGUUACGUUGGUGGACUCAACAGAGUUCUCUCCGUCGAUCGUUCCGUUUCUUUUGCUGAGCUGAUGGUCAAGCUUGGUGAGUUUUGCGGAUAUUCCGUUACGUUGACGUGCCAGUUACCCGGCGGAGACUUGGAGACGUUAAUUUCCGUCAAAUCGGACGAAGAUUUGGCGAAUAUAAUUGAGGAAUAUGAUCGAGCUUCGUCGGCUUCGAAGAUUAGAGCCGUUCUUUCCCCUCCAAAAUCGCUCAAACAAAUUUCUCCUCCCGCGUCAAAUUAUUCCAGCAUCAACUUUUCUCCAACCAGACAGCCUUUUAAGCCGUCCAUGAAUUAUCAUCACCUUGUUCCUCGGCGUUCUUCGCCGCAGUUCGGCUAUCCGGUAGGCGCUUACAGAGACUGUUGCAGGGGCUGUUGUUCUCCUGGACAUGUUAAGGGAAACUAUUGGAACCCUAAUUGCCAUAACAAUUGCUGGCAUUGACAGAAAGAAACCCCGAAAGCUGGAGGAGGAUUAUACAAUUUCAUACAACAAUAGGCAAUUACCUCGAAACUGAAUCAGAAGUCUAAAAAAAAUUGAGUUGAAAUUUUGGUGUGUCGAUUUGUAUAUAAAGAGAGUUUGUGUUAAAUCUGAAAGAAUUAUUAUACAUACUCGCGACCAUAUUCCUGUGCAUGGAUCAAUUUUGCCGUUGGGGGUUACCGGCGGGGAUUUUAAUUCCGCCGGGAGCGUUUGGGAAUCAAUUUUGUCGUUAGGGUUCCGUCGAUGGGAAAUGAUUUCCGUGGCCUUGCGUGGUGUGCUGCUCGUGACACCUGUAAAGCGUGGAAUGGAAUCAUAUGCCGUGUUUUGGACCUUUGGUGGGAACUUUAUUGGGAAAAAAAAAACAAAAAAAAAAACAGGACAGCAUGCUUGGAAUGAACUUUCUACCAUCAGCAACUAGAUGAGGGAUGGCUGGCAAUACUUGACAAAGCAUUUUUUUUUUAAAAAAAGUUAAACUAAUGGAAUUUUUAAAUUUUUAAAAAGUUCCUAAUUGUAAUUUGACCAGUUGAUAGUCUGGUUGAUAUGGACUA